UUUUUGGGCUUGGUAAUUGGAAUGAGGGAGAGUUAAACGGACCAUCGAGUAUCCAUUGGAGGGCAAGUCUGGUGCCAGCAGCUGCGGUAAUACCAGCUCCAAUAGCGUAUAUUAAAGUUGUUGCAGUUAAAAAGCUCGUAGUUGGACUUGUGUGCGCUGUCCGCGGGUGGCCCGCGCCCAAAAGGGCGUUUCGGUUCGGCCCCGGUGGCGCCUUGAAAUCUGCAGCUGGGGGGACGUUGGCCUUAACUGGUCGGCGACCGCACGCCGGCUGCUCGGUUACUGUGAGAAAAUUAGAGUGUUCAAGGCAGGCAUUGGGUGCAAUUGAAUACAUUAGCAUGGAAUAAUAAAAUAUGGCUCCUGCCGUAUUUUGUUGGUUUUGACUGGUGGGAGUAAUGAUUGAUAGGGACGGUUGGGGGUGCUAGUAUUGAGCGGCCAGAGGUGAAAUUCAUGGAUUCGCUCAAGACUAAUUUAUGCGAAAGCAUUCACCAAGGACGUCCUCUUUAAUCAAGAACGAAAGUUGGGGGAUCGAAGACGAUCAGAUACCGUCGUAGUCUCAACCAUAAACUAUGUCGACUUGGGAUCGGCGGUAGUUUUUUCAUUAAGACACUGUCGGGACCACGGGAGAAAUCAAAGUGUCUGGACUCUGGGGGAAGUAUGGUCGCAAGGCUGAAACUUGAAGGAAUUGACGGAAGGGCACCACCAGGAGUGGAGCCUGCGGCUUAAUUUGACCCAACACGGGGAAACUUACCAGGUCCAGAGAUGUAGAGGAUUGACAGAUUGAAGCUCUUUCUUGAUCACUUCGGUGGUGGUGCAUGGCCGUUCUUAGUUGGUGGAGUGAUUUGUCUGGUUAAUUCCGUUAACGAACGAGACCUCAGCCUGCUAGUGUAGUCGGCUGGAUUGCCUUUGGCGAUCCGUGAUUUCGACUUCUUAGAGGGACAAUCGACGCGCAGUCGAUGGAAGUUUGAGGCAAUAACAGGUCUGUGAUGCCCUUAGAUGUUCUGGGCCGCACGCGCGCUACACUGCUGGGCUCAGCGAGUUUUACUUGGCCGAGAGGCCCGGUUAAUCUUGUGAAAUCCCAGCGUGCUUGGGCUCGCCUCCUGCAACUGGAGGCGCCAACGAGGAAUUCCUAGUAGACGCAGGUCAUCAACCUGCAUCGAUUACGUCCCUGCCCUUUGUACACACCGCCCGUCGUUCCAUAAGAGUGAGGCAUCCGGUGAAUUCUCGGGAGAGCCUGGGCGUGGCCAGCAAUGGUCUGCUCGGGUUUGAACUUGCAUAAACUUGGUGCCUAUGAUUAGGG
rnacentral:rRNA from 1 species